AACAACUUACUCACAGAUGCAACAAUGUACUCUACCUGGGGAAUUUGUCAGGCCAGAUCUUGAACAGCUAAAUAGAGCAGAGGUCAAGCUAGAAAUGGAUCUGGUCACCAGAUUAGGCCCAAUUGCAGCAUGCAUAUUCGAAGUAUCUGAUCUUGGAAUGCCCCUUCGAAGGAUCCGUCCAAAAAAAUCUUCCAGGUGAGAUUUGAGUCAGAUCUUGGUUUAACUGGGACCAUCUAAUGUUUUAGCCAGGUCCUGCUCUGGCAGUUUCCAUGUUCAGCUAGUUCAAAGACCCUUUUUUCACAUCCACUUGGACUCAUAUUUAAUUGAAGCGAAAUUUGUUUGA